rnacentral:sRNA from 1 species
GGGAUCCACAGUCUACAAAACCCCACAUCCCCUGAGAAUUCUCUCGCCUGCCUUAGGCACUUAGGCUCCGGGAGAUUGCAAAUAACCUGCUUUCUUUCUGUUCCCGGGCUGCGUUCGGACUCCUGUCAGAUAGUAAAUCCUAAGUAAGGUGGCGUCGGACCCCUGUCAGAGAGUAAAUCUCAAGUAAGGUACCUGCCAUCGGCAGAUGGGAGCUUUCUUCUUGGACACCUAAUACCCACAGUCCUCCAGGCUCCGGUAGACUGCAAAUGACCUGCUUUCUUUCUGUUCCCGGGCUGCGUUUGGACCCCUGUCGGAUAGUAAAUCCCAAGUAAGGUACCUGCCCUCGGCAGAUUUGAGCUUUCUUCUUGGACACCUAAUACCCACAGUCCUCCAGGCUCCGGUAGACUGCAAAUGACCUGCUUUCUUUCUGUUCCCGGGCUGCGUUUGGACCCCUGUCGGACAGUAAAUCCCAAGUAAGGUACCUGCCCUCGGCAGAUUUGAGCUUUCUUCUUGGACACCUAAUACCCACAGUCCUCCAGGAAUGGAACAGAUAAGAAGAUACUGAAAUUGGACGGUGCUGCCGUGCGGCUGCCGCAGGACACCUUUAAUAUCCCUGUUUCUCAGGCUGUAGAUGAAGGGGUUCAGCAUGGAGGUGAUCACCGUGUACAUCACUGAGGCCACUGCAGCCUUUCUCGGGGAAGAUGACACAUCUGAACUGAGGUACCCUCCAAAGCCUGUUCCGUAAAAUCAGCAAACAACUGACAGGAUAACUUCAGGAAGUGGGUAUUAAUUCUCACGGUAUAAGUGAAGACAUUAAGCACCAGAGUUUAAGUAGCUUGAUCCACUGAAAGAGAUUCAACUGUGUGGAACCUAUGCCGUGGAGAAUUGCUUUCUGCCAUUGUUAUCGUCCAGCAGUUGCCGAAUAGCUCUGACCUGAGCAAAGCAGUGAAACGCGGUGCUGUUGAGUGGGUUGCCACUGCACCUUUUUCAACUACUCUAGUCUUGUGGAGAAAAUACCCCUUCUAAAUUUUUUCUUCAUUGAAUACUCUCCCUCAGCUCCAGAGUACCAUAUAGAGUUUUCUUGUAUUUUAGAGUUACUGUUUUAUCAAAGUUUACCAGUCUUUUGUAUUACAUUUCUCCUGUCUAAAUCGACUGUGUGGUUUCUACUCAUUAUGGAUAUAGAUUGAUACAAACUCAAUAAAUAUUUUUGAAUGAAUAA